UACGUAGGGUGCGAGCGUUAAUCGGAAUUACUGGGCGUAAAGCGUGCGCAGGCGGUUUGUUAAGCCAGAUGUGAAAGCCCCGGGCUCAACCUGGGAACUGCGUUUGAAACUGGCAGGCUAGAGUUUGGCAGAGGGGGGUGGAAUUCCACGUGUAGCAGUGAAAUGCGUAGAGAUGUGGAGGAACACCGAUGGCGAAGGCAGCCCCCUGGGCCAAAACUGACGCUCAGGCACGAAAGCGUGGGGAGCAAACAGG
rnacentral:rRNA from 1 species